CAGCCGCGGUAAUUCCAGCUCCAAUAGCGUAUAUUAACGUUGUUGCAGUUAAAAAGCUCGUAGUUGAAGUGAGGGAGUGUGUAGUAGGACCGACUUGAUCGGAACUGCUGCAACCUCCCCCCUCCAAUCGGUGUAGUGGGGUAUUCAGUUAUUCUACUACUCCUUUGGUCGUUUACUGUGAGAAAAUUAGAGUGUUCAAAGCGGGCGUUUGUUUGAAUAGAUUAGCAUGGAAUAAUGAUUGAAGGCUUUCGUGUUCGAUUUGAUUGGUUUGUUCAUGGAAGCAAGGUUAAAAGGAACAGUUGGGGGUAUUCAUAUUCACUAGUUAGAGGUGAAAUUCUCGGAUUUAUGGAAGAUGAACAAGUG
rnacentral:rRNA from 1 species